CCCCCCCGCGGCGGCGCUGGCCUCUCUCCCCGUGCUGCGCCGCCGCCGCCUUGUUCCAGAUCUGAAGCUUGGAUUUUGCGCGGCGGCCCAAUGACGCUUCCAUCCCCAAGGGCCCCCGGCCAUAGCGGCCGUGUCCACAUCCACUACCCUCGUCGACCCGGCCUCUUCACCUCGCCAUGGCGCUCCCCCUACCCCUGCGCUCCUGACUGCCCGCCUUCGCGCCCCCUCCCUGCCUGGACUUGCCACCUCGCCGUCACCAGCACAAAUGAGCAGGAGGCAAAUGAGGACUUUGUGGUGGUCACGUACAAGUUGGUGCCCGUCGACGACCCCCACGCACAACUCCACUUCCUGCAGGUUAGGAAGAUUACUCGGGUGCUUUUCAGGCUUCUCCAGCAUUAACCGGGCAUGCUCUCCGAUCAUACAAUGACAAUCUUGACUGUACAACAAUAAUCGGCGGCGCCGGCAGCCGAAUCAGACGAAGUGGCUGGUCCUGCGAGUGGCAGCGGUGGUCGCCUAUGUGGCGCAGGUGGGCAGCGGUGGUCGCCCUCAUGGCAGCAGCGCAGGUGGGCGGUGGCGCUGGGCCCGAGGGUGGAUGCGCUGGUCGCUCCCGUGGGCGGUGGUAGGCAAGGUACGUAGGUGGGCGACGGUGAUCGAGCUGCGCGGGUGGCCGGCGUUGGUCGCCUCCAUGGCGGCGGUGCAGGCGGGCGGCGGCGUUGGACCCCAAUGGUGGCUCGCGCGGGCGGCGGGGUUGUCUAAGUUUUUUUUGUUGUUGCAAAAAUCACCAUGAACUACGUCUGUGACAAGCUUUCCUUUAGUUUUUAUCUCUUGACCCGUACUCUAUCAUCUUUUUAAUUUAUUUAUUUGAACCAGAAACCGAAUCAAUAUUUCUAUCCGUCAUCCUUCAUUA